rnacentral:rRNA from 1 species
UACGUAGGGCGCAAGCGUUGUCCGGAAUUAUUGGGCGUAAAGAGCUCGUAGGCGGUUUGUCGCGUCUGCUGUGAAAACCUAAGGCUCAACCUUGGGCUUGCAGUGGGUACGGGCAGACUAGAGUGCGGUAGGGGAGAUCGGAAUUCCUGGUGUAGCGGUGAAAUGCGCAGAUAUCAGGAGGAACACCGGUGGCGAAGGCGGAUCUCUGGGCCUUACCUGACGCUCAGGUGCGAAAGCUAGGGGAGCGAACAGG